AGCACUUGUUGACUGAAUGAAACGUUGCAGCUUGUAAAAGAUGACUGGACACCACUGAAGUAAAGGAAAAACUGUCAUCAAGUACAUUUGUACCUCAGACGAAGUUUACCUUCGUUGUGCCGCCUGUCUCAUCGAUCUUUAACACUGCUCUCCUCCUUCACACCUUUCGUUUCCUCCUCCAUCUUCACCCCCUGCUUCCUUCAUCCAGGAGGACAGUGAGAGGUACUCACGCCCUUCACGGAUACAAACGCUCUCGGAUGACGAUGAACGGAUGUCUGUCGGGAACCGAGGCAGCAUCAGGUCAGAUCUCGAUGCAGUUGGGGCCUACGGUGGAGGGGGCUCCUCUUCAUACUUGCACAAGAAGUCAAAGAAAAAGAAGAAACAUAAGCACAGAGAUGUACGUAAAAGCUCAAACAAAAGACACCUUAACACUUUCACAAAUUUGAUCCCCACACUGGCACACGGUCUUGUGUGCCAGUGAGUAAACUGUUAACUGUGCAUGGCUGCAUGCCAGUGUGUAAAGAAAAUUUU